rnacentral:rRNA from 1 species
UACGAAGGGGGCUAGCGUUGCUCGGAAUUACUGGGCGUAAAGCGCACGUAGGCGGUCUUUUAAGUCGGGGGUGAAAUCCUGGAGCUCAACUCCAGAACUGCCUUCGAUACUGGAAGACUCGAGUCCGGGAGAGGUGAGUGGAACUGCGAGUGUAGAGGUGAAAUUCGUAGAUAUUCGCAAGAACACCAGUGGCGAAGGCGGCUCACUGGCCCGGUACUGACGCUGAGGUGCGAAAGCGUGGGGAGCAAACAGA